rnacentral:rRNA from 1 species
AGCUUGUUGGUGAGGUAACGGCUCACCAAGGCAGCGAUGGGUACCGGCUUACGGGUGGACGCACACUGAACUGAGACACGGUCCAAACUCCUACGGGAGGCUGCAGCGAAUUAUCGCGCGAAAGCGUGACCGGUGCGACGCCCCGCGGUUGCGGGACGAAAGGCCCUAAGGGGUCGUAACCGCUGUCAGGGCUCGGAAACCGUAAGGUUAACUAAGCCCUCUGCGGCUUGACCCAGUGCCCCAAAGGGGAAGCCAACAGGGCUAAUCUCGGGCCAGCAGCCGCGGUAAUACGAGAUGUGCGAGCGUUGUUCGGAAUUACUGGGCAUAAAGGGUGCGCAGGCGGCCAUGUAAGUCAGGUGUGAAAUCCCUCGGCUCAACCGGGGAAUUGCAUCUGAUACUGCAUGGCUUGAGAACGAAAGGGGCAAGCGGAAUUCCAGGUGUAGCGGUGGAAUGCGUAGAUAUCUGGGAGAACGCCAAUGGCGAAGGCAGCUUGCUGGGUCGUUUCUGACGCUCAUGCACGAAAGCUAGGGGAGCAAACAGGAUUAGAUACCCUGGUAGUUCUAGCUGUAAACGAUGGGUACUAGGUUCCGGGAUUCCUGAUGAUUUCGGAGCCGCAGUUAAUGCGUUAAGUACCCCGCCUGGGGAGUAUGGCCGCAAGGCUAAAACUCAAAGGAAUUGACGGGGGCUCACACAAGCGGUGGAGCAUGUUGUUCAAUUCGAAGCAACGCGAAGAACCUUACCUGGGUUUGACAUGCAGGAAGUAGAACCCUGAAAGGGGAACCACCGGUAUCCAAUCCGGGACCUGCACAGGUGCUGCAUGGCUGUCGUCAGCUCGUGUCGUGAGACGUUGGGUUAAGUCCCGUAACGAGCGAAACCCUUGUCGUCUGUUGCUACCAGGUAAUGCUGGGCACUCUGACGAGACUGCCGGUGUUAAACCGGAGGAAGGUGGGGACGACGUCAAGUCAUCAUGGUCCUUACAUCCAGGGCUACAAACGUGCUACAAUGGCGAGUACAGAGAGACGCGAGACCGCGAGGUGGAGCAAAUCUUCAAAGCUCGCCCCAGUUCGGAUUGGAGGCUGCAAUUCGCCUCCAUGAAGUUGGAAUCGCUAGUAAUCGCGGAUCAGCAACGCCGCGGUGAAUAUGUUCCUGAGCAUUGUACACACCGCCCGUCAAGCCACCCAAGCUGGAAGCACCCGAAGUCCGGC